rnacentral:tRNA from 2 species
GAGAAUGAAAUAAGACCUGCUAACUCUUUUAUCUGUCCUUAACAGGACAGCUUUCUCU